rnacentral:rRNA from 1 species
CCUACGGGUGGCAGCAGUAGGGAAUAUUGCUCAAUGGGGGAAACCCUGAAGCAGCAACGCCGCGUGGAGGAUGAAGGUUUUCGGAUUGUAAACCUCUUUUGCCGGGGAGCAACGGGGUCCUUGCGAGGGCCCGAUGAGAGUACCCGGAGAAAAAGCAUCGGCUAACUCCGUACCAGCAGCCGCGGUAAUACGGAGGAUGCGAGCGUUAUCCGGAUUUAUUGGGUUUAAAGGGUGCGUAGGCGGGCUGUUAAGUCAGCGGUGAAAUGUCGGGGCUCAACCACGGCCUGCCGUUGAAACUGGCGGCCUCGAGUGGGCGAGAAGUAUGCGGAAUGCGUGGUGUAGCGGUGAAAUGCAGAGAUAUCACGCAGAACUCCGAUUGCGAAGGCAGCAUACCGGCGCCCGACUGACGCUGAGGCACGAAAGCGUGGGUAUCGAACAGGAUUAGAUACCCCUGUAGUC